rnacentral:rRNA from 1 species
CACGUAGGGGGCGAGCGUUGUCCGGAUUUAUUGGGCGUAAAGAGCUCGUAGGCGGCUUGGUAAGUCAGGUGUGAAAACUCGGGGCUCAACCCCGAGACGCCACCUGAUACUGCCAUGGCUAGAGUCCGGUAGGGGAGCAUGGAAUUCCCGGUGUAGCGGUGAAAUGCGCAGAUAUCGGGAGGAACACCAGUGGCGAAGGCGAUGCUCUGGGCCGGUACUGACGCUGAGGAGCGAAAGCGUGGGGAGCAAACAGG